ensembl:lncRNA
AACCAACGCCCAGCCAAUCACGUGGCGCUCCUCCGGUCAUGUGACGCAGACGGUUCACCUCACAAGACCGGGGUCAACCACAGCUACCAGCAUGAACGACGGCGCUUCAAUGCACAAUGAGGGACGUCUGCAGCGACUGAGAAAGAGUCUCACCACAUCCUGACAUGAGGAAAAAGACUUUAUUGAAGACUACAAUGAGAAAAACUAUCAGACAGCAGACGGCUGCAUUCAAGUUUAGGCUGUUAGAUUGUUCCAGACAAGUACAAGAUUCUUCAUAGCCGUUCUACCACGAGCCUGACAGGAAGAACUCCAACAGCUACUGAAUGUUCCUGUGGUCCCCUCAAGGCUACAGGAGGAGCCCUACGAGGACGAGCUGGUCCACCUGAUGGCGGCCAGUCACUGUGGUUCAAAGCCAACACCGACUACGUGGACUUCUACUGGACCACAUGGAGGCCUUCAAACCGGACCAACAAGUUCAGCGACUCCCCGACUCGUGGGUCUGAGGACGCCGCCGAGCCUCGGCCCAGCCGGCCUCCUGUCUGUGGGUGUUUGAGUGCUGAGAGGCCUCCGUUGACUCGUCCCGCCUGCCGUCUCUGGAGCUGAAGCUGGAUUGGAACAGACCAAAGUACAGUCCAAUCACGAUGCCAGCUGCCUCUCAAAAGGCUCCUUCAUCUGGCAGGUGACAGCACUUCUUCUGAGG